rnacentral:rRNA from 1 species
UACGUAGGGGGCAAGCGUUGUCCGGAUUUAUUGGGCGUAAAGAGCGUGUAGGCGGCCAGACAGGUCAGCUGUGAAAACUCGAGGCUCAACCUCGAGACGUCGGUUGAAACCGUCUGGCUAGAGUCCGGAAGAGGAGAGUGGAAUUCCUGGUGUAACGGUGAAAUGCGCAGAUAUCAGGAAGAACACCCGUGGCGAAGGCGGCUCUCUGGGACGGUACUGACGCUGAGACGCGAAAGCGUGGGGAGCGAACAGG